rnacentral:lncRNA from 1 species
CAUGAAUAAAUUUGUAUUAUUCCUAUAGUGCUGAUGUGUAGAUGAUGAAUACACUGUCUUCCUCUAUUAUGGGCUAUGACUAUCAUGGUGUGUAAUGUUGUAUCCUUCUUUUUCCAAAUUCCUCAUUUCUUUGGCCCAGCUAGUGUCUAAUUCAAUUUUUGUUCAUCUUAUACUCAUAAAAAGCCAUACCCACUAGAUCCAGUCAAGUGUCUCCUUUUUCUUCCAAUGAUAUCGCCAGUUGUGGGACAAAAAGAAAACGAUACUAAAGUUAUAAUUAAUUAGUGAAAUAAUGUUUUUAGUGGCAACCUCAUCGUUGCAGUGCAUAUCCAAUUGAAAUUUGUAUUAUA